GACGAACGCUGGCGGCGUGCUUAACACAUGCAAGUCGAGCGGUAAGGCCCUUUCGGGGGUACACGAGCGGCGAACGGGUGAGUAACACGUGGGUGACCUGCCCUCAGCUCUGGGAUAAGCCUGGGAAACUGGGUCUAAUACCGGAUAUGACCUUCCUCCGCAUGGGGGUUGGUGGAAAGUCCAGGAUUGAUUUCUUGGCUCGGCUGGGGAGUGGGCCCGCGGCCUAUCAGCUUGUUGGUGGGGUGAUGGCCUACCAAGGCGACGACGGUAGCCGGCCUGAGAGGCGACCGCCACACUGGGACUGAGACACGGCCCAGACUCCUACGGGAGGCAGCAGUGGGGAAUAUUGCGCAAUGGGCGGAAGCCUGACGCAGCGAC
rnacentral:rRNA from 1 species